CUUAGUAACUGCGAGUGAAGCGGCAAAAGCUCAAAUUUGAAAUCUGGCGCCUUCGGCGUCCGAGUUGUAAUUUGGAGAGACAUCUUCGGAGUAGACGCCGUCCUAAGUUCCUUGGAACAGGACGUCACAGAGGGUGAGAAUCCCGUGCCUGGAUGGCUGUUCUACUUCAUGUGAAGUGUCUUCGACGAGUCGAGUUGUUUGGGAAUGCAGCUCAAAAUGGGAGGUAAAUUUCUUCUAAAGCUAAAUAUUGGCGAGAGACCGAUAGCGCACAAGUAGAGUGAUCGAAAGAUGAAAAGCACUUUGAAAAGAGAGUUAAAAAGUACGUGAAAUUGUUGAAAGGGAAGCGCUUGAGACCAGACUCGAUCAGUGGUGAUCAGCGGUGCUUCUGUACCGUGCACUUGCCAUUGAUUGGGCCAGCAUCGGUUUAGACGGCGGGAUAAAGACCUGAGGAAUGUGGCUCCCUCCGGGGAGUGUUAUAGCCUUGGGUGCAAUGCCGCCAGUCUGGACCGAGGACCGCGCUUCGGCUAGGAUGCUGGCGUAAUGGUCUUCAGCGACCCGUCUUGAAACACGGACCAAGGAGUCUAACAUCUAUGCGAGUGUUCGGGUGGAAAACCCUUGCGCGUAAUGAAAGUGAACGGAGGUGAGAACACUUCGGUGUGCAUCAUCGACCGAUCCUGAUGUCUUCGGAUGGAUUUGAGUAUGAGCAUAGCUGUUGGGACCCGAAAGAUGGUGAACUAUGCCUGAAUAGGGUGAAGCCAGAGGAAACUCUGGUGGAGG
rnacentral:rRNA from 1 species